CCUACGGGAGGCUGCAGUGAGGAAUAUUGGUCAAUGGGCGGAAGCCUGAACCAGCCAAGUCGCGUGAGGGAUUAAGGCCCUGCGGGUCGUAAACCUCUUUUGCCGGGGAGCAGAGGUUCGGACGUGUCCGGGCCGGGAUAGUACCCGGAGAAAAAGCAUCGGUUAACCCCGUGCCAGCAGCCGCGGUAAUACGGAGGAUGCGAGCGUUAUCCGGAUUUAUUGGGUUAAAGGGGUGCGUAGGCGGGCAUUUAAGCCGGCGGUCAAAUGUCGGGGCUCAACCCGGGCCGGCCGUUGAAACUGGGGAUCUUGAGUGGGCGAGAAGUAUGCGGAAUGCGUGGUGUAGCGGUGAAAUGCAUAGAUAUCACGCAGAACUCCGAUUGCGAAGGCAGCAUACCGGCGCCCGACUGACGCUGAGGCACGAAAGCGUGGGGAUCGAACAGGAUUAGAUACCCGAGUAGUC
rnacentral:rRNA from 1 species